rnacentral:rRNA from 1 species
UGGGAAUUUGGACAAUGGGCGAAAGCCUGAUCCAGCAAUGCCGCGUGUGUGAAGAAGGCCUUCGGGUUGUAAAGCACUUUUGUCCGGAAAGAAAUCCUUGGCUCUAAUACAGUCGGGGGAUGACGGUACCGGAAGAAUAAGCACCGGCUAACUACGUGCCAGCAGCCGCGGUAAUACGUAGGGUGCAAGCGUUAAUCGGAAUUACUGGGCGUAAAGCGUGCGCAGGCGGUUUGCUAAGACCGAUGUGAAAUCCCCGGGCUCAACCUGGGAACUGCAUUGGUGACUGGCAGGCUAGAGUAUGGCAGAGGGGGGUAGAAUUCCACGUGUAGCAGUGAAAUGCGUAGAGAUGUGGAGGAAUACCGAUGGCG